UUAGUUGAAGUAAAAUUUAUGUUCAAUUUCGGCUUGAGAGUUUGGUUAUUUAACCCAUCUUUA
rnacentral:tRNA from 1 species